AGCGUGGUAUAGUGGUUUGAAUAUUGGACUAUGACACUGAAGACCAGGGUUCAAAUCCCUGUUCAGCCA